rnacentral:rRNA from 1 species
GAUGAACGCUGGCGGCGUGCCUAAUACAUGCAAGUCGAGCGAACGGACGAGAAGCUUGCUUCUCUGAUGUUAGCGGCGGACGGGUGAGUAACACGUGGAUAACCUACCUAUAAGACUGGGAUAACUUCGGGAAACCGUAGCUAAUACCGGAUAAUAUUUUGAACCGCAUGGUUCAAAAGUGAAAGACGGUCUUGCUGUCACUUAUAGAUGGAUCCGCGCUGCAUUAGCUAGUUGGUAAGGUAACGGCUUACCAAGGCAACGAUGCAUAGCCGACCUGAGAGGGUGAUCGGCCACACUGGAACUGAGACACGGUCCAGACGCCUACGAGAGGCAGCAGUAGGGAAUCUUCCGCAAUGGGCGAAAGCCUGACGGAGCAACGCCGCGUGAGUGAUGAAGGUCUUCGGAUCGUAAAACUCUGUUAUUAGGGAAGAACAUAUGUGUAAGUAACUGUGCACAUCUUGACGGUACCUAAUCAGAAAGCCACGGCUAACUACGUG